UACAGUAUUUUUCUAAUUUUAGUAUCAAUGACCAGAUGGGGUUGUGGUGAUGUGGAUUCUUUCUAAGCCACUGUUUCUUCAGAUUAAUUUCAAUAAAUACUUUGCUUUAGGGUUUAGACAGAUCUGCAUGCUUUUCCUCUAAAUGGUGGUGAAUUAGCAGGCCCGUGUUAACUAGACAGCCGUGCACUUGGUUCAGCUGAGCUGUAAAAAUAUUCACAAGAAGCAAUACAAUGGUAGAGUAUCUUGCUAUCUUUUUCGUCUAUGGAGUAAGCAAUUAGCUAAAUCACAUAAAUAUAUUUUUUUUUUCUCUUUUAUGUUUUCUCAAUCUUUGUAGCGUUGUACUGUACGAUAAAUUUGUCUAAGAUCUUAAACAAAUUCCUAGCAAAGUAGAAUCAAGGCUUUGAUUUGCACUAACCCUUCAUCUAUCAUUACACGUGAAAAUGAUAACAAAAACUUAAUUAAAGAAGAUAGUGAAAAAAAAUCUAAUUGAAGAAGAAGAAAAAUGAUCUAUCUAUCUCUCUCUCUGUCAUGGAUUGCAGGUCUCAAAUCUCUACACUUUAUCACCUCUCUCUUCCUCUUUCCUUAUCACCUUUGUUAAAGCCAUUCGAUAUACUAUAAGUUCUCACCAGCAAAGUUGCCUAAAUGGUGGUGGUUUGGGUAGAAGAUCCAUGGUGGUUUAUAUGGUUGUAAGUAUUUUGUGGUACGACAGUAGUUGAAAGUUUGCAGCAGAUUGAAUCUACUACCGUGGCAGGACAUAAAAGGGAUAAGGAGUAGGAGGUCUAUGAAAACCAUAAAGACUAUGGU